GCACUCCGAGCUGGACGUGUGGAAGGGACCACAGGAGUACACGCUGUUUGAAAGCCAUUCCUGGACACCACUGAGGCCGGCUUCCCAGGGAGCCUUUGUCGCCUCUGCAGCAGAGGUCACUGGACUCUCCUCAAGGUGUAAUGUGAGGGAACAGGUGCCUCGGGGGCUUGGGAAAACACCACGCUGUGCUCUGAUGUGUGUCCCCAUCCCGGGAGAAGGCAAGUGCUUUGCAUAAGGACCAGAUGGGUUGCUGAAUAGGGAGGUGGAAAACAAAUAGACCCUUGGGUGUAUCUUGAACCCCUUCAACACCCCCCCUUCCCCACUCCCCGCCUUCACCGAAGCAGUGUCAGAGUCCUCUUCGAUCCAGCAUGCUCUCCUACAAUGGCGAAAAACUGCAUUAAAACGAGGCAGUCGGAGCUGACUGCGGAAACCCAUGUUCUUAGAGAGUCGUCUGGCUACUGCGUAGUCCUGGAAUAUUCUUUUUUUCAAAAGGCCUCUUCCAGUUGAUUCCAACCGGGUUCGGGUUAUUGUUCUCACCACCGAUAGGGGGCAGCAGGUGUCCUGCGAUGCCCCGGGGAUGUGCGCGCAGACUGCCCUGCUGUCCCCGGGAAUCCGACUACACUGAACGUUUGGGGCAGAAGCAGGAGCUGCUGCCUCUAAGUCCACCGCAGCAGCUGCCGGGACUUGGGCCUCCCAGCCUGGGCGCCUGGGGGGGGCUUGCCCUGUGCAAAGGGUGGGCGAAACCAUCUGUGCACCAAGCCUGCCCCUAAACUUAGCGUACAGCAUAGAUAAAUAAACUCAGUUGUAUGCAAAUGCUAUAAUUAAA
rnacentral:lncRNA from 1 species